rnacentral:misc_RNA from 1 species
AGAAGCCCCUCCCAAGAUCCAUAACAGUAGUGAACUAAAUGAGUUCACGGAACCAGGGCUGGGACCAGUUUCUGGUUGUCGAAGAUCUGUCUGACCUGGAAUCUGCAUAGUGUUACCAACCCUGUCCAGGUUGUCAUUUCCCAGGGGUUGUUGAGGCCCAGGAUUCUCUACUCCAUUUGCUGGUAUUGCUUGGUCAGAUCCAGGUCUAAAUCCAGGAACAGAGGCCAAGUCUGUAAUACCUGAACCUUCGUUCCUAGUGUUCAAUCUCGUAAUGUGUAAAGUUGAUGCAAGG